rnacentral:rRNA from 1 species
UACGGAGGGUGCAAGCAUUAAUCGGAUUUAUUGGGCGUAAAGGACGCGUAGGCGGUAAGAAAAGUCGGGUGUGAAAUCCCGGGGCUCAACCCCGGAACAGCACUCGAAACUCUCUUUCUAGAGGGUAGGCGGGGAAAACGGAAUUCCACAAGUAGCGGUGAAAUGCGUAGAUAUGUGGAAGAACACCUGUGGCGAAAGCGGUUUUCUAGCUUAUACCUGACGCUAAGGCGUGAAAGCAAGGGGAGCAAACAGG